UGUGGUGACAUCAGACUGUGACCUGUCACUGCUGGGGUUCCACGGGGCUCCAUCUUGGGCCCUGUGCUCUCCAACAUCUCCAGCAAUGACUUGGACACAGCACUGGAAGGGACCCUGAGCAGGUACUGUAACUCUGCAGCCACUUGUGCACAUCACGUUUGCCUCGGUGUGAAUGAAAGCAGGAGCUGGCAGCUUGCAGGGAGCCAGGUCAGCAGUUUAUCCUCAGUGUCUGCACCUCUUGGCCCCACUUCCAUCCUCAGAUGCCUGAGCUGAGCUUUCAGCAUCUUUGCAAUGAGGGAAUUUCGCUCCAAUAAGAAGUACAGCAAACAAAAGCCUUACAAAAGGGCUGAGCCUGACCAAGCAUCAGAUCCUGAGGAGGAGGCUUUUAAAGAAAUGAUAAAAGGCAAGGUAGAAAACGAGCAGGAACAGAUGGCAAUCACCCAAGAGGUUUAAAGGAAUUCAGAGAUGAAAUUGCUGAACUACUCGAUGUGUUGUGCAAAGUAUCACUUAAAUCAAUCCCAAUAUUACAGUGAUGAAAGACAACAAAUGAGGAACCAGCUUUUAAGGGAAAUUCAGGAGCAUCUGGAGAAAUACAGACCUGAUGAGA